CCGUAGGUGAACCUGCGGAAGGAUCAUUGU
rnacentral:rRNA from 44 species